UUUCCUUAGCAGUUUUCCAUUAUAUCUCUAAUUUCUGACUUUCUCACUGAGAAUUUCAGUACUCAUGAAUGCUGGGGAUAGAGUUAGAACAUUCAUGAUGGCUAAUUUGCUUUCUUACACAUUCCACACCUAACAUUCCCAGAAUAACAAUAUUAAUACCACCACUAUCACUAAAAGCAGUUAAAUUGCUUUACAACCAUUCUCUUUGCAUUUUUCAAGAAUAGAAUGUAUCAUUAACUAGAGUCAUCACAUUGUAAAAUAGAUCUCUUGAACUUAUUCUUAUUGCCUAAGUGAAAUUUUAUAUUUUUUGACUAACAUCUCCCCAACUUUCCUGCCUAACCCCAAUCCCCUAGUAACCAUCAUUCUACUCUCUACUUCUAUGAGGUCAACCUUUUAGAUUCCACAUAUGAGUGAGAUAGUGCUAUAUUUCUCUUUCUGUAACCUGGCUUAUUUCACUUAACAUAAUGUACUCUAGGUUUGUUUGACAUGGCACAAUGUUUUGAAUUGGGUGGGAAUCUUUUCCCCCAGUUAGAAAAACAGAUUUAAAUAACUUGUGCUACUGAAAUCAUUUUUACGGAAAAAUGAGAUGUGAAUCAGUUCA
rnacentral:lncRNA from 10 species